rnacentral:rRNA from 1 species
AGAGUUUGAUCAUGGCUCAGAACGAACGCUGGCGGCGUGGAUAAGACAUGCAAGUCGAGCGAGAUCUUUUCCUGUAGCAAUACAGGGAAAAGUCUAGCGGCGAACGGGUGCUUAACACGUGGGCAACCUGCCGUGAAGUGGGGGAUAGCUCGCCGAAAGGCGAAUUAAUACCGCAUGUGAUUAGAAAGGACAUCCUUUCGAAAUUAAAGUCGGGGCAACCUGACGCUUCUUGUGGGGCCCGCGGCCUAUCAGCUAGUUGGUGAGGUAACGGCUCACCAAGGCUUUGACGGGUAGCUGGUCUGAGAGGAUGACCAGCCACACUGGGACUGAGACACGGCCCAGACACCUACGGGUGGCAGCAGUCGAGAAUUUUUGACAAUGGGGGAAACCCUGAUCGAGCGACGCCGCGUGGAGGAUGAAGGUCUUCGGAUUGUAAACUCCUGUCAUUGGGGAACAAGGUGCAUACGUUAACUGCGUGUGCAUUGAUAGUACCCCGAAGAGGAAGAGACGGCUAACUCUGUGCCAGCAGCCGCGGUA